rnacentral:rRNA from 1 species
AGAUUGAACGCUGGCGGCAUGCCUUACACAUGCAAGUCGAACGGCAGCACGGGAGCAAUCCUGGUGGCGAGUGGCGAACGGGUGAGUAAUAUAUCGGAACGUGCCCAGUCGUGGGGGAUAACGCAGCGAAAGCUGUGCUAAUACCGCAUACGAUCUCUGGAUGAAAGCGGGGACUCGCAAGGGCCUCGCGCGAUUGGAGCGGCCGAUAUCAGAUUAGCUAGGUUGGUGGGUAAAGGCCCACGAAGGCGACGAUCUGUAGCUGGUCUGAGACGGACGACCAGCCACACUGGAACCUGACGACACGGUCCAGACCUCCGUACGGGAGCAGCAGGUGGGGUAAUUUUGGAACAAGUGGGACG